UACGAAGGGGGCUAGCGUUGCUCGGAAUCACUGGGCGUAAAAGGGUGCGUAGGCGGGUCUUUUAAGUCAGGGGUGAAAUCCUGGAGCUCAACUCCAGAACUGCCUUUGAUACUGAAGAUCUUGAGUUCGGGAGAGGUGAGUGGAACUGCGAGUGUAGAGGUGAAAUUGUAGAUAUUCGCAAGAACACCAGUGGCGAAGGCGGCUCACUGGCCCGAUACUGACGCUGAGGCACGAAAGCGUGGGGAGCAAAC
rnacentral:rRNA from 1 species